rnacentral:rRNA from 1 species
CAGUCGCCGCGGGAACACAGAGGGUGCGAGCGUUAAUCGGAUUUACUGGGCGUAAAGCGUGCGUAGGCGGCUUCUUAAGUCGGAUGUGAAAUCCCUGAGCUUAACUUAGGAAUUGCAUUCGAUACUGGGAAGCUAGAGUAUGGGAGAGGAUGGUAGAAUUCCAGGUGUAGCGGUGAAAUGCGUAGAGAUCUGGAGGAAUACCGAUGGCGAAGGCAGCCAUCUGGCCUAAUACUGACGCUGAGGUACGAAAGCAUGGGGAGCAAACAGGAUUAGAGACCCCAGUAGUCCCUGUCUCUUAUAA